AUUUUUUGACCGAAAAGAAAUUUGACAAUUCCACAUACACCGUUGCGUAGAGCACGACGAAAUGAGUUCAUAGACACGAAGUGAGCUCGAAUUGGAGUUUUAACGAAAAAAAUACGGUUAAAAUAUCACGAGGGGCAAAGUGGUAAUUUAAAAAAAAUCAGAUUUAAACCCUCACUCUCUCUCUUCUCCCUCAGUUUCUCUCUCUCUCUCUCUCUCUCUCUCUCUCUCUCUCUCUCUCUCUCUCUCUCUCUCUCCCGUCGCAACUUCUCUCUUUCCCCCCACCGAUUGGAUUCUCACAGUCGCCGUCGCCGCCAUAGACCACCACCGGCCACGAGACCAGUCUUGUUCGAACCGUCCUCGCCUCCUCUUCCCGUCCCACCCGGUUUCCGUCGCCGUCAGCCACUCCAGCAGCCGAAAACUGCAGAAAACCGAGUGGUGUGACCGGAAUUUCACGGCCGUCGUUCUCUCUCAUUUCUCAACCAAAUCGGACGAGCCAAGUAUGGAUUUUGACCCUCUCGAUCGAGCUGUUCUAGCUGCCUGUUGGGUAGGAAUUAAUCGGUUCUCAGUAUAGAUAAUGAAUUUUCUCCAAGAACAAAAGUGGUUCCAAGUAUAGUGUUAGACCUAGGGUAGGAGUUUGGAGCCGUGGUUUUGAGAUUUUCCGGCGAUGCGUAAUCGCUUUGGACACCUAUUGCUGCCGGCGCGUGCGAAGGUACGUGGGCGAGGGUGGUGCAGUGACACUGUGUCCUGAUGUGAUCCUUAGGUUGUCAC
rnacentral:lncRNA from 1 species